rnacentral:hammerhead_ribozyme from 1 species
UGCCGAAACACCCCGGCGCGGGGGUGUCGUGCUAGGGUGGUUCCUAGCGCCUGAUGAGGCAGCCAACG